UACCGCAUGGUGGGUGUUGGAAAGAUUUAUCGGUUUUGGAUGGACUCGCGGCCUAUCAGCUUGUUGGUGAGGUAAUGGCUCACCAAGGCGACGACGGGUAGCCGGCCUGAGAGGGUGACCGGCCACACUGGGACUGAGACACGGCCCAGACUCCUACGGGAGGCAGCAGUGGGGAAUAUUGCACAAUGGGCGCAAGCCUGAUGCAGCGACGCCGCGUGAGGGAUGACGGCCUUCGGGUUGUAAACCUCUUUCAGUAGGGAAGAAGCGAAAGUGACGGUACCUGCAGAAGAAGCACCGGCUAACUACGUGCCAGCAGCCGCGGUAAUACGUAGGGUGCGAGCGUUAUCCGGAAUUAUUGGGCGUAAAGAGCUCGUAGGCGGUUUGUCGCGUCUGUCGUGAAAGUCCGGGGCUUAACCCCGGAUCUGCGGUGGGUACGGGCAGACUAGAGUGCAGUAGGGGAGACUGGAAUUCCUGGUGUAGCGGUGGAAUGCGCAGAUAUCAGGAGGAACACCGAUGGCGAAGGCAGGUCUCUGGGCUGUAACUGACGCUGAGGAGCGAAAGCAUGGGGAGCGAACAGGAUUAGAUACCCUGGUAGUCCAUGCCGUAAACGUUGGGCACUAGGUGUGGGGACCAUUCCACGGUUUCCGCGCCGCAGCUAACGCAUUAAGUGCCCCGCCUGGGGAGUACGGCCGCAAGGCUAAAACUCAAAGGAAUUGACGGGGGCCCGCACAAGCGGCGGAGCAUGCGGAUUAAUUCGAUGCAACGCGAAGAACCUUACCAAGGCUUGACAUGUUCUCGAUCGCCGUAGAGAUACGGUUUCCCCUUUGGGGCGGGUUCACAGGUGGUGCAUGGUUGUCGUCAGCUCGUGUCGUGAGAUGUUGGGUUAAGUCCCGCAACGAGCGCAACCCUCGUUCCAUGUUGCCAGCACGUCAUGGUGGGGACUCAUGGGAGACUGCCGGGGUCAACUCGGAGGAAGGUGAGGACGACGUCAAAUCAUCAUGCCCCUUAUGUCUUGGGCUUCACGCAUGCUACAAUGGCCGGUACAAUGGGUUGCGAUACUGUGAGGUGGA
rnacentral:rRNA from 1 species